rnacentral:rRNA from 1 species
AUGGCUUCGUCAGGCUCAGCCGGCCUCGCUCUCCAGGCGGCCGCCGUCGCCGCCAUGCUCGCCAUGCUUGUCCUGCCUUCGUCAGGCCGCUGUCCAUCGCUGGGGCCGGUACCGCCGCCGCCGGCAAAGGGGGCACCGCCACCCGCACCGACAUCAUUACCACCAGCUCCGGCACCGUCGAUAUCGUGCGGGGCCUGUGCUCAAUCGUUCGGGAGCUCAACCUGCAGAUCGUUGUGCAUGGCCUCCGCCAAUGGGAAAUGCCCUUGCCUACUGGUUCAACCUCGCCUCUGCCACGACUGCACGACCACCGUCGACGAGUGCAUGGCCAACUGCACCGGCGACAGGUGUGACUGCGGCGCCACCGAAUGCGAUGCCACUUGUGCCUUAUUUGUGAAAUGUUUAGAGUGCCCGGAAAACCAAAGUAAGAUGUGCCGGAUCACCUGCACGGCUAGGGCUGGAAUUCGAGCCGAGUCGAGCCAGCUCGGCUCGGCUCGCUAG